UGGGGAAUAUUGGACAAUGGGCGCAAGCCUGAUCCAGCCAUGCCGCGUGAGUGAUGAAGGCCCUAGGGUUGUAAAGCUCUUUCACCGGUGAAGAUAAUGACGGUAACCGGAGAAGAAGCCCCGGCUAACUUCGUGCCAGCAGCCGCGGUAAUACGAAGGGGGCUAGCGUUGUUCGGAUUUACUGGGCGUAAAGCGCACGUAGGCGGACUUUUAAGUCAGGGGUGAAAUCCCGGGGCUCAACCCCGGAACUGCCUUUGAUACUGGCAGUCUUGAGUAUGGUAGAGGUGAGUGGAAUUCCGAGUGUAGAGGUGAAAUUCGUAGAUAUUCGGAGGAACACCAGUGGCGAAGGCGUCUCACUGGACCAUUACUGACGCUGAGGUGCGAAAGCGUGGGGAGCAAACAGG
rnacentral:rRNA from 1 species